UCGAGGCCUUCAAUAAGACCUUCAGAACAAUUUUUGGAGACCCUGUCCUAAUUUUUGAGGCAGGGAAAA